rnacentral:rRNA from 1 species
AGCGAACGCUGGCGGCAGGCUUAACACAUGCAAGUCGAGCGGGCAUCCUUGUGGAGUCAGCGGCAGACGGGUGAGUAACGCGUGGGAACGUGCCCUUCGGUUCGGAAUAACUCAGGGAAACUUGAGCUAAUACCGGAUACGUGCGAGAGCAGAAAGGUUUAUCUGCCGAAGGAUCGGCCCGCGUCUGAUUAGCUAGUUGGUGAGGUUAUGGCUCACCAAGGCGACGAUCAGUAGCUGGUCUGAGAGGAUGAUCAGCCACACUGGGACUGAGACACGGCCCAGACUCCUACGGGAGGCAGCAGUGGGGAAUAUUGGACAAUGGGGGCAACCCUGAUCCAGCCAUGCCGCGUGAGUGAUGACGGCCUUAGGGUUGUAAAGCUCUUUUCUUCGGGACGAUAAUGACGGUACCGGAGGAAUAAGCCCCGGCUAACUUCGUG